rnacentral:rRNA from 1 species
ACGGCUCAGUAACACGUGGAUAACCUGCCCUUGGGUCCGGCAUAACUCCGGGAAACUGGAGAUAAUUCCGGAUAACGCAUAUAUGCUGGAAUGCUUUAUGCGUAAAAUGGAUUCGUCUGCCCAAGGAUGGGUCUGCGGCCUAUCAGGUAGUAGUGGGUGUAAUGUACCUACUAGCCUACGACGGGUACGGGUUGUGAGAGCAAGAGCCCGGAGAUGGAUUCUGAGACAUGAAUCCAGGCCCUACGGGGCGCAGCAGGCGCGAAAACUUUACAAUGCGGGAAACCGUGAUAAGGGGACACCGAGUGCCAGCAUCAUAUGCUGGCUGUCCAGGUGUGUAAAAUACACCUGUUAGCAAGGGCCGGGCAAGACCGGUGCCAGCCGCCGCGGUAACACCGGCGGCCCGAGUGGUGAUCGUGAUUAUUGGGUCUAAAGGGUCCGUAGCCGGUUUGGUCAGUCCUCCGGGAAAUCUGAUAGCUUAACUAUUAGGCUUUCGGAGGAUACUGCCAGACUUGGAACCGGGAGAGGUAAGAGGUACUACAGGGGGUAGGAGUGAAAUCUUGUAAUCCCUGUGGGACCACCUGUGACGAAGGCGUCUUACCAGAACGGGUUCGACGGUGAGGG